rnacentral:rRNA from 1 species
GCGGAGGAAAAGAAACCAACUCGGAUUCCCCUAGUAACGGCGAGUGAAGCGGGAAGAGCUCAUGUUGUAAAUCUGGAUGAGGGUUCCUCGUCCCGAAUUGUAGUCUAGAGAUGCGUGCUCAGCUACUCUCCAGGGCUAAGUCUGUUUGUGAAAGACAGUGUCAUGGACGGUGAUAACCCGGUUCUUGCCUUGGAUGUUGUAGCGUUUUGAGCCGUCCUCAACGAGUCGAGUUGCUUGGGAUUGCAGCUCUAAGUGGGUGGUAAAUUCCAUCUAAAGCUAAAUAUUGGUGGGAGACCGAUAGCGAACAAGUACCGUGAGGGAAAGAUGAAAAGAACUUUGAAAAGAGAGUUAAAUAGUACCUGAAACUGCUGAAAGGGAAGCGAAUGAAGUCAGUGUUGCUCUUUGUGCUCUGCAUCCUCCCUGCGGGGAUUGUGUAUCGAGGACUUUGAGCUUGUCAGGAUGAGUUCUCUGCCGCGGGAUAUGUUUUGUAUGCUGGAUGCUUUUUGCGGAACAUACAUUCUCUGUCGUGGCUUGGACUGAGGUUCCAUCUUGCCGUUGCCUGUGCGUUCCUCUCCCGUUGCUGUCUCUGUUCUACUGCUUGCAGUGCUCAGUUGCAGUAGUUGGACUGUGCGUAUUAUGCAUGCAAGGUCAGGAUCCUGACGAAAUGGCUUUAUUUACCCCGUCUUGAAACACGGACCAAGGAGUCUAACAUACGUGCGAGUACUUUGGUGACAAACCAAUGUGCGCAAUGAAAGUAAAGGCUGGCUUCCGUCAGCUCAGGUGGGAUCCGUUUGGAGCACCAUCGACCGACCAUUAUGCCUUCGGGCUAAAGGUUUGAGUGUGAGCAUUUAUGUUGGGACCCGAAAGAUGGUGAACUAUG